rnacentral:rRNA from 1 species
GUAGCGGGUCUGAGAGGACGACCCGCCACAUUGGGACUGAGAUACGGCCCAGACUCCUACGGGAGGCAGCAGUGGGGAAUAUUGCGCAAUGGCCGAAAGGCUGACGCAGCGACGCCGUGUGUGGGAGGAAGCCCUUCGGGGUGUAAACCACUGUCAGGGGGGAAGAAACCAGGUCGGUCGAACAGGCCGAUCUGCUGACGGUACCUCCAAAGGAAGCGCCGGCUAACUCCGUGCCAGCAGCCGCGGUAAGACGGAGGGCGCAAGCGUUGUUCGGAAUUACUGGGCGUAAAGCGCGGGCAGGCGGCCCGUUAAGUCUGCGGUGAAAUCCCGGGGCUCAACUCCGGAUAUGCCGCGGAUACUGGCGGGCUAGAGACUGGUAGAGGCGAGUGGAAUUCCUGGUGUAGCGGUGGAAUGCGUAGAUAUC